UCCACAUGCAGCGAUCGCGAGCCCGGAGCAGCCUCAGAAUAAAAUGCUAUAGCGGCUGCACGCCACUGCCACUAGAAGCGGCGGAGAGGGAGCACACCGGCCGGGCGGACACAACGGACAAGACACAAAAGGGAGGCCGCACAAAGGGAACCGGCAUAGGGCCCGCAGAGAGCACGCACGAGCUACCGGGAACCUCGCUUGUACUCCCCGAGUAUCCUAGGUUAGCAGAACGCUCGAGAACACUCUGCCAAUCCAGGAGCCGUGAGGAGACCGGCGUCGGUGUAUGACGAGAAGCCUCGCCUGAGAGCCGUAUCCCAGAGCCAGUGCCCGGGGGCUCGUAUGGGCAGAGCGCUGCUGUAGGGGACACCGCCGGCCUAUUGUGCGCUGACUACGAGCAAAGGAGGGGGGGACAGAUCCGGACAUGGAGAACGCACACACCAAGACGGUGGAGGAGGUGCUGGCGCACUUCAGUGUCAACGAGAGCACGGGGCUGGGCCUGGAGCAGGUCAAGAAGCUGAAGGAAAGAUGGGGGCCCAACGAAUUACCUGCAGAAGAAGGGAAAACACUAUGGGAAUUGGUGAUGGAACAGUUUGAAGACUUGCUAGUUAGAAUCUUGUUACUUGCUGCCUGUAUAUCAUUUGUAUUGGCAUGGUUCGAGGAAGGUGAAGAAACAAUCACAGCCUUUGUAGAGCCUUUUGUAAUCUUACUUAUAUUAGUAGCAAACGCCAUUGUAGGUGUGUGGCAGGAAAGAAAUGCUGAAAAUGCUAUUGAAGCACUCAAGGAGUAUGAGCCUGAAAUGGGCAAAGUUUACCGACAGGACCGAAAAAGUGUCCAAAGGAUUAAAGCCAGAGAUAUUGUUCCUGGUGACAUUGUUGAAGUUGCCGUUGGAGAUAAAGUUCCAGCAGACAUACGGCUAACUUCUAUCAAGUCUACAACGUUACGAGUAGACCAGUCAAUCCUUACUGGGGAGUCUGUGUCUGUUAUCAAGCACACUGACCCGGUCCCUGAUCCUCGAGCUGUAAAUCAAGAUAAGAAGAACAUGCUGUUUUCUGGUACAAAUAUUGCUGCUGGUAAAGCCAUUGGUGUAGUAGUGGCAACAGGUGUCAACACUGAAAUUGGCAAGAUUCGUGAUGAAAUGGUAGCUACAGAACAGGAGAGGACUCCUCUGCAGCAGAAGCUGGAUGAGUUUGGGGAGCAGCUUUCUAAAGUGAUCUCCUUAAUUUGCAUUGCUGUGUGGAUCAUCAACAUUGGACACUUCAAUGAUCCUGUGCAUGGCGGCUCUUGGAUAAGAGGAGCAAUAUACUAUUUUAAAAUUGCUGUUGCCUUGGCUGUUGCUGCUAUUCCGGAGGGUUUGCCUGCUGUUAUCACAACUUGUUUGGCGUUGGGUACUAGAAGGAUGGCAAAGAAAAAUGCAAUUGUCAGGAGCUUGCCCUCGGUUGAAACUCUGGGAUGUACAUCAGUUAUUUGCUCUGACAAGACUGGUACACUCACUACUAACCAGAUGUCAGUCUGCCGGAUGUUUGUUAUUGAUAGAGUUGAAGGCGAUAAUUGUUUCCUGAAUGAGUUUUCAGUGACUGGCUCCACUUAUGCUCCCUUGGGAGAAGUGCUGAAAGAUGACAAACUUGUGAAAUGUCACCAGUAUGAUGGGCUGGUCGAGCUUGCCACAAUUUGUGCACUUUGCAAUGAUUCAUCUUUGGACUUUAAUGAGGCGAAAGGAGUUUAUGAGAAAGUUGGAGAAGCUACAGAGACUGCGCUUACCUGUUUGGUUGAAAAAAUGAACGUGUUUGACACAGAUCUUAAAGGACUGACCAAGAUUGAGCGCGCUAAUGCCUGUAAUUCGGUUAUAAAACAACUCAUGAAGAAGGAAUUCACACUUGAGUUCUCAAGAGAUAGGAAAUCAAUGUCUGUCUACUGUACGCCAAACAAACCAAGUCGCACCAACAUGAACAAAAUGUUUGUAAAGGGUGCCCCUGAGGGCUUAAUUGAUCGCUGCACCCACAUCCGUGUCGGUAGUGGAAAAGUACCUUUGACUCCAGGAAUUAAACAGAAGUUAACAAGUGUGAUCAGAGAGUGGGGUUCAGGCCGGGACACUCUACGCUGCUUAGCCCUGGCAACACAUGAUAACCCUCCACGGAGAGAGGAUAUGAAUCUGGAAGAAUCUUCUAACUUUAUUAACUAUGAGACUAAUUUGACAUUUGUUGGCUGUGUUGGAAUGUUGGACCCACCAAGAACAGAAGUGGCAGCAUCAGUAAAAAUGUGUAGGCAGGCUGGUAUUCGUGUGAUCAUGAUUACUGGCGAUAACAAAGGAACAGCAGUAGCAAUUUGCCGACGUGUUGGUAUCUUCCGUGAAGACGAGGAUGUUACUGAUAAAGCUUUUACUGGCCGUGAGUUUGAUGAGCUAUCUCUAGCUGCUCAGAGGGACGCCUGUAUGAAUGCACGUUGCUUUGCCCGUGUUGAGCCUUCACAUAAAUCAAAAAUUGUUGAAUUUCUACAGUCUUUUGACGAAAUUACAGCUAUGACUGGUGAUGGUGUAAAUGAUGCCCCUGCCCUUAAAAAGGCAGAGAUUGGAAUAGCUAUGGGAUCCGGCACUGCAGUUGCUAAAACUGCUUCUGAGAUGGUCCUGGCUGAUGACAACUUCUCCACUAUUGUGGCUGCUGUUGAAGAAGGGCGUGCAAUAUACAACAACAUGAAGCAAUUCAUCCGAUACUUAAUCUCUUCUAAUGUUGGAGAAGUGGUUUGUAUUUUCCUGACUGCUGCCCUUGGGUUCCCAGAAGCAUUAAUUCCUGUUCAGCUACUGUGGGUGAACUUGGUAACAGAUGGCCUUCCUGCCACUGCAUUGGGCUUUAAUCCACCAGAUUUGGACAUCAUGAACAAGCCACCACGUAAUCCCAAGGAGCCACUGAUCAGUGGCUGGCUAUUCUUUCGCUAUCUUGCUAUUGGAUGUUACGUUGGUGCCGCUACAGUUGGAGCCGCAGCUUGGUGGUUUGUUGCAGCUGAUGAUGGACCAAGGGUUACUUUCUAUCAACUGAGCCACUUUCUUCAGUGCAAAGACGACAAUCCAGAUUUUGCAAAUGUUUCAUGUGAAAUCUUUGAAUCUCCGUACCCCAUGACUAUGGCAUUGUCUGUCCUAGUUACCAUUGAAAUGUGUAAUGCUUUGAACAGCUUGUCUGAAAACCAAUCACUUCUGAGAAUGCCUCCAUGGGAGAAUGUCUGGCUUCUGGGCUCAAUCUGUUUAUCCAUGUCCCUUCAUUUCCUCAUUCUUUAUGUGGAGCCAUUACCGCUCAUCUUCCAGAUUACUCCGUUGAACUUGAUUCAGUGGUUGAUGGUGCUGAAAAUCUCAUUGCCUGUUAUACUUCUGGAUGAGGCACUUAAAUUUGUUGCCCGUAACUACUUGGAACCUGGUAAAGAGUGUGAAAAGCCUGCAGCCAAACCGUGCACUUUUUCCGCAUGCACUGAGGGGAUUUCUUGGCCGUUUGUGUUCAUUUUCUUGCCUUUGAUUAUCUGGCUUUACAGCACCGACACUAACAUUACUGAGAUGUUUUGGUCUUGACUGACAUUUUUACAGAAUGGAAAUGUUUAACUUAACCAGAUCAUUAUUUUUUUUAUUUUAUUGUUUAAAGCAACUGUCUAUUUCUGCUGAAUUUUCACAUAAACAUAGUGCUGGUGAAGGCAAGUUUGUUUCUCAUACUAGGUCUUAUUUUCUUUUGCUCCCAUCUGCCCCACCCAAACCUCUUGACUCCAAUGUAGACAAGAGGUGUGUUUUUUUUUUUUCUCCUCCCCACCCCCUCCAUGUAGUAUUCUUUGACAUGUACAGAGGACUAACACUAUUUUAUGCAAAUUUUUUUUGUAGAUGGGGAAAAGCAUGUACAGUGUUCUGUUUCAUAAUAUCCAUUCUUAUUUAAAGAAACAAAAAAAAAAAGGAAGCAAAAAGGAAAUAUAAUUUGAUCCAAUGGACAUUAUCUGCAGAAAAUUGGUAGCAGAUUUAGGGAACGUGUGAUAUUAAUUGACUAAAAUUACAAAGCAUGAUCUGUGUUUCUGCAUGGUCAUUUGGAUUUGGUUUGAUAUCAUUAUACUGUCUGUCUAAUGGGCUUUUUUUAUUUUUUUAUCUAGCCAUAAGCCAGUUUUUUUCUGCACUAAGCAGAUAACUGCUACCUCAGUCAGUAUUUUGUUUUUCAGUCUCAUUUCAUUGUUUUCCUUUCUGUUUACACCAGUCUGAUUCUCUGUAAGAGGUAUGCCUAUUCUUGCUUGUGCAGAUUCCCCCCCCCCCCCCCCCCCCCACAAGUUCAGAUAUUUUCCUUCAUAUAUUUUUAAGGUUAUUUAUUUAAAUGUCUAUUGUAUUUUAUUGUAGCCAACCAGUUUUUUUUCCCCAGUGUCGCCCAUUCUACGGGCUAAACUUCACAGCCUAGAAAAAAAAUAAAACCUUUUAAUGGACAGAGAAACAUGUCUUGUCUUACAAAUGCUUUAUCACCAUAAGUUCCUUAUCUAUUUUUUUUUUUUUUUAAUUCUUUUUCUACACGGAACAUUUUAUGUAUGCAAGUGAUCAAAAAAUUGCACUGCAAAGAUAAAGCUGGAUUAUAUUUCACAGUUGUUGGCAAGCAACCAUCCAUCUGUUAUCAUUGCAAGUUAUUCUUCUAACCGGUAUUAACCAAAGUUGAGGACAUAACUUUGUAUUUAACUUUUUGUUUUAUUUUGUAAAACCUGUAAAUAGCACAUGACCAAAUGAACAUAUUGUAUAGAUCUAUUUUUAUUUUAAGGUGACACUAAUGACCAUCAUUUAACUGUUAGAGCAUGUUUUCAGGUUGACUUCCCUCAGCCACCAAAGUUUAGGUCAUUAACCGUCCUAAUUGUGGUGUUUUUCUCCAAAUGCCUUCCAACACUCAUCAACUAAAAACAACUGGAGUAAUCCCCUUCUUAAACAAUUGUGCAGAGAUGUAAGGUUGCUUUGUUGCGUGCAUGUGUGUGUUUAGAGGCAGUUUUCAAUGUAAAUGGAGAUGAGAAAAGGCAUGUGCUUCAAAUUGUGCUAAAAUACAAAAUCACCUUCACAAAUAAAUGUGUUGGAAGAUUCCGAGGAGGCGUUUGGUUAUUCAGUGCACAGGGAAGAUGCUAUACAAAUUCUUUUGCUGCUAGAGGUUAAACCUGAGCUGUAGUGUUAGAGGCCCCUCUAGCAACAAAUGGAAUGAGAAGAUAAUCUAAGCAGCCAAGCCAAGUUUCUGUGUUUCGCCAUGUAAGAUGUCAUCCGUUCAUGUACAAUAUCAUUGUAGUGCAUGCUUUCAGUUGUAAGUAGCCAGAUAUCUGUACUGUAUAAAUUUCCUUUAUAAACAGCUAUGUACAAUAUGCACUUGUUCUAUUUAUAAACUCAUUCAAAAGUUACAAAUGUUGAAUGUUUAAAUUGUAAAUCUUUAGGUCACCAUUUCAUAAGUUUUAGUUUUUUUUUUUUUUUUUUUUUACUCGUUUUAAGUGUGCAAAUGUCAUUUGUGCACUGUAAUAAUGUAACUUAUUAAAUUCUGAAGCAGAUAUCCUUUUGGUGCAAUACAAUUUACUGUGAUGCUUCUAUUAUAAGAAAACGUCAGUUGCUGCAAACGCAUGUUUGGCCUCUAGACUAUUGUAAAUAGUUGUUGCUGACAUAAGCAUCCUACAGACAUGGUUUCCGAUAAAUAAAAGUUUGUUCUAUUAUAGA